AUGGAGUACGGGUACCCCUGCAACAGCUGCAGCAGCAACAAGGAGAAGAGGCCUCCGCUCAAGAGAGGCCAGCUCAAGCUGCAGAUCGCCAGGACUCUCGGCAGCCUCGUGGUGCCGGGCGCCAAGAGCGGUUUCAGCUUCAGAAGAUGA
rnacentral:rRNA from 1 species